UACGUAGGGUGCGAGCGUUGUCCGGAUUUAUUGGGCGUAAAGAGCUCGUAGGCGGUUUGUCGCGUCGUUCGUGAAAUCUCCACGCUUAACGUGGAGCGUGCGGUCGAUACGGGCAGACUUGAGUUCGGUAGGGGAGACUGGAAUUCCUGGUGUAGCGGUGAAAUUCGCAGAUAUCAGGAGGAACACCGGUGGCGAAGGCGGGUCUCUGGGCCGAUACUGACGCUGAGGAGCGAAAGCGUGGGGAGCGAACAGG
rnacentral:rRNA from 1 species